rnacentral:rRNA from 1 species
CGCGUAGGCGGCUUGCCAAGUCAGGGGUGAAAUCCUGCAGCUUAACUGUAGAAGGGCCUUUGAUACUGGCAAGCUCGAGGGAGGUAGGGGUAUGUGGAACUUCCGGUGGAGCGGUGAAAUGCGUUGAUAUCGGAAGGAACGCCGGUGGCGAAAGCGACGUACUGGACCUCUUCUGACGCUGAGGCGCGAAGCUAGGGGACAAACG